GGAGGGGUGGCCGAGUGGCUUAAGGCAGCGGUUUGCUAAACCGUCGUUCCGAGAAAUCGGAACCGGGGGUUCGAAUCCCCCCUCCUCCG
rnacentral:tRNA from 1 species